rnacentral:tRNA from 1 species
AUUUGUAUAGUUUAUAAAAAACAUUAUAUUUUCAUUAUAAAAAAAAUAUUAUAUAUUUAUAAAUA